CCUCGGAGAGUUCAGCUGGAGAGAAGUCUGCUCUGGGUCCUUUCAUGGUUUCCAAAACUUUUGACUGAAAUACAUGUGCAGCCUAAAAGUUAAGAGUUAUGAUUUAUUUGGCAGGAGGACUUGACCUGGGAUGACAGCCUCUCAGAUCUCUCUGAGGGACUGCUCAGAAGAGGUUCGGGAGGAACUAGGAUAUAUAGGAGCUUUACAACAAACACCGGGAAGUUGGAACAAUAAAAGAUUGCUUGUUAUCUAAAGAAAGCCAGACUGACUAUGGAUAAUCUGCAACCUUGGAAAGCAACCGAGAUGGAAUUACUGCAGUACGUUUUGGUUACUGAGACCCUCGAAUUCCCAUAUGAAUUGUAGUAGCAGCUAGUCAGUUUUUGCAGAGGAGCCUG